UUAAGCCAUGCAUGUCUCAGUACAGGCCUUCAUACGGUGAAACCGCGAAUGGCUCAUUAAAUCAGCUAUGGUUUAUUGGAUCAUACCCGUUAAAUGGAUAACUGUAAUAACUCUAGAGCUAAUACAUGCCUCGAUGCCCUGACCCUGUCCUCUUGUGGCUCUUUGUAGCUGCAGUUGUGGGCAGGGGAGGGGUGCACUUAUUAGAUCAGAAGCCAACCGGCGUUGCGUGUGUAUUCACGUGCGCUGAAGCACUUCUGGUGACUCUGGAUAAUUGUUACAGAUCGCAGUCGGCCUUGAGUCGGCGACGGGUCCUUCAAAUGUCUGCCCUAUCAACUUUCGAUGGUAGGUGACCUGCCUACCAUGGUGAUAACGGGUAACGGGGAAUCAGGGUUCGAUUCCGGAGAGGGAGCCUGAGAAACGGCUACCACUUCCAAGGGAGGCAGCAGGCGCGCAAAUUACCCACUCCCAGCACGGGGAGGUGGUGACGAAAAAUACCGAUGCGGGACUCCUUCAAGAGGCUCCGUAAUCGGAAUGAGUGGACUCUAAAUCCUUUCACGAGGAUCAAUUGGAGGGCAAGUCUGGUGCCAGCAGCCGCGGUAACUCCAGCUCCAAUAGCGUAUAUUAAAGUUGCUGCAGUUAAAAAGCUCGUAGUUGGAUCUCGGUGGCGUUGUUGCCUGCCGGUAUUUGAGCGGCUGGUGUGUGGUUGGCGGCGCAUAGUUGCUGUGUCUGCCUGCUGUCUGUCAGUUUGCCUCGGUUAGUCCGCCAGUCUGUGGCUGACUACUCUGUCAGUCGCGAUGGUGGCGAUCGGGUAGCUGGCGUGUUGGCGGUGGGCGGUGCGGUGGCUGUGUUGUCGUUGCCAUUGAAAAGCACUGUCGUAUCAAGCUGGCAAGGUGAUGGUGUCACCUUUAAGCCAUGUCUGUGGUCUGGCAACAGCCGCAGGUGUAGGCGGGUGUCGGACAGUGCCCUACACACGCUGUGGGGUCUGUCGGCUCGUUUGCAUGCCUUUGGAUGCCCUUCGAAAGGUGUCUGUGGGCGGAUGGCACGUUUACUUUGAACAAAUUUGAGUGCUCAAAUCAGGCCGACGUUGCCUGAAAAGUUUUGCAUGGAAUAAUGGAAUAGGACUUCGGUUCUAUUUCGUUGGUUUUUGGAUCCGAAGUAAUGAUCAAAAGGGACAGGCGGGGACGUUUGUAUGGCUGCGCUAGAGGUGAAAUUCGUGGACCGUAGCCAGACAAACUAAAGCGAAAGCAUUCGUCAAGCAUGUUUUCAUUGACCAUGAGCGAAAGUCAGAGGCUCGAAGACGAUCAGAUACCGUCCUAGUUCUGACCAUAAACGAUGCCAACUGACGAUCCGUGGUGGUAGUUAUAAAACCUUCCCCACGGGCAGUCCCCGGGAAACCUUUAAGUCUUUGGGUUCCGGGGGAAGUAUGGUUGCAAAGCUGAAACUUAAAGGAAUUGACGGAAGGGCACCACCAGGAGUGGAGCCUGCGGCUUAAUUUGACUCAACACGGGAAAACUCACCCGGGCCGGACACUAUGAGGAUUGACAGAUUGAUAGCUCUUUCUUAAUUUGGUGGUUGGUGGUGCAUGGCCGUUCUUAGUUGGUGGAGCGAUUUGUCUGGUUAAUUCCGAUAACGAACGAGACUCCGGCCUGCUAAUUAGUGCAUUUGUCCACUGCAUCUGUGUAGGCGGCGUUGGGCGAGGCUGCUGUUACUGCAGUAUGCGGGCUACAGUCGUGUAUUGCCAUCCUACGUUGAGUUCUUCAAUUGAGGCGUGGUGGUGCAUUGACUGCUUGCAUGCCUGUGUGUACGGUUUGUCGGUCCGGUGUUAGCCUCCGGGUGUGGCGCGAAUGCCUACUUCUUAGAGGGACAAGCGGGAGAAGCCGCACGAAAUAGAGCAAUAACAGGUCUGUGAUGCCCUUAGAUGUCCGGGGCCGCACGCGCGCUACAAUGACGGUGUCAACGAGUCAGACCUUCUGGCCCGAAAGGGUUGGGCAAACUGGUCAAUCACCGUCAUGACAGGGAUCGGGGCUUGCAAUUGUUCCCCGUGAACGAGGAAUUCCUAGUAAGUGCAAGUCAUAAGCUUGCGCUGAUUACGUCCCUGCCCUUUGUACACACCGCCCGUCGCUACUACCGAUUGAAUGGUUUAGCAAGGUCCUUGGAUUGGUGCCAUAAUGGUGGUGUCCGUGAGGUUACUGCCAAACUGGUACUGAGAAGAAGACCAAACUUGAUCAUUUAGAGGAAGUAA
rnacentral:rRNA from 1 species